CAGGUGAAUUUGAAUUUCAGGCAAACAACAAAUAAUGUUUAGUAUAAUUAUAUCCCAUGCAAUAUUUGGGUCAUACUUAUACUAAAAAGUAUCCAUUGCUUAUCUGAAAUUCAAAUUUAACUGGAUGUCCUGUA
rnacentral:miRNA from 1 species